rnacentral:tRNA from 1 species
GCCACGAUAUCCUAGCUCGGUAGGGAGAUUGUCUGCUAAGCAAUUGCCGUUACAGGCUCCAGGGUUCAAAUCCCUGUCGUGGCUCCA